GCCUGGACUCUGGUCAGGGCGGGGGUGCUCCUGGUGUGGUUGCGGAGGCGAGGUCGGCAGCAUCGUAGGCCAUGGUCCGAGAGCCUUCUCUGGGAAAGUGGAUAGGGGCGGGGGAGAGAUGGAGAGAGAUGGAGAGCGCUGUUAGGCCCAGCCUGGUCCGCAGCCCGGAGGGUUGGACACUUCGGGCUCACUUCGCGCAGCCCCACACACCGGAGCCCCACGCCACACGGACCCAGUCCCCACGCGGAGCUUCAGGCUGUUCUAAAGAGAACUAAACGCCUGGGUUUAAAUGUCACUUUUCUUUCACAAUCCUUCAUCAGUCAUCUUGAUCACCCUUGCCUCCACUCAGAAUCGUUUUUGUUUUGUUUUUGCCCUAAUUAACCUCGGAUCAUUAUUGCUUCCAAUGCUUCUGGACCAUGUCAGAGAAGAAGAUGAGCUGGGAAAAGGCCUUCAGUUAAUUUCAAAUAGAAAAGUGCAUCAUUCAAAUCACUCCGUAAUGGGUUAAGAUUUCAUCACGUGUGAUUAUUUGCAGACUCGGGAAAGGAAUUCCCAAGGGAGGUGAAAAAAUUGGCCUAAGGAAUAGUGGAAUUAAAAAAAAAAAAAAGCUUUCCUGGACUCCGCACACAAACUAUCAUAUGUGAGGUCGGAGCUUGUGCACAUGUCAAAGCUCUGAGGUGACAGGUGCCUAGAGAAACAGAGGCCACACUCCAGGUGUCCACUGGGGACACCUGCUCUGUGCCAUCCACACCUGGCCACUUCGCUCUGCCUCCUCCCUCAGAGCUAAGUUGGCUCUAUCUUGUUUUUCCCCACUGACAUCCAUCAGCACUGAUUGUAGGUUUUGUAACACACAGCUUCUUGGGGCUACGAGCAAGGGAAGAGUGGCAGGGGGUUCUCCAGGUAUGUUAGAGUAAGCAGAGCAACCGGCCUACCUGCCUGCGGGGACCGAGGUGGGAGGGAGAGAGGGGCCGCGAAGCAGUAAAUGUAUAGCUUUGGCAGGGCCUGGUCACAAGAACAGAGUUCUAGGCCGCCUAGUAAUGGAAUUUUGGCGGUCAAUAAUGAAACAGCAGGUGUUCCAUUAUGGAAAGAGGUAACGAACACAUUAGUGACCGAAAAAUGUUUCAAAAGAGAAUACAUAUAUUUUCAUGUUUGCUAUUAGGGUUGUGAAUAGUCAACGAAGACUAGACAUCUUGAAGUAAAUUAGAAACAGUCGCCUCUGGGAAAUGGACUCCGGUAGAAUUGAUACGUUCCCUUCCCCACUUUUUACAUUAAAAUGCAUUUGUUUAUUUACUUUUAUGUGUGUGGGGGUGUUUUGCCUGCAUGUAUG